AAGUCGUAACAAGGUCUCCGUAGGUGAACCUGCGGAGGGAUCAUUACUGAGUUACCACUCUUAACCCUGUUUACAUAUCUGUUGCUUCGGAGGCGCCCCUCGGGAGGGGAUUUGCUUCGGCCGCCUCCAAAAGCUUUUUUUUUUUUAAACUUUUAAACUUUAUCUAUACUCUGAAAAGAAAACAAAAAUCAAAACCUCAACAACGGAUCUCUUGGUUACA
rnacentral:misc_RNA from 1 species